CCUACGGGAGGCAGCAGUGAGGAAUAUUGGUCAAUGGGCGGGAGCCUGAACCAGCCAAGUAGCGUGAGGGAAGACGGUCCUAUGGAUUGUAAACCUCUUUAGGCGGGGAGCAAUGACGGGCACGCGUGCCCGGAGGGAGAGUACCCGCAGAAUAAGCAUCGGCUAACUCCGUGCCAGCAGACGCGGUAAUAUGGGGGAUGCGAGCGUUCUCCGGAUUUAUUGGGGUGAAAGGGUGCGUAGGCGGAUUUUUAAGCCAGCGGUAAGAUGUCCGGGCUCAACCCGGGCCGGCCGUUGAAACUGGGGAUCUUGAGUGGGCGUGAAGUAUGCGGAAUGCGUGGUGUAGCGGUGAAAUGCAU
rnacentral:rRNA from 1 species